UACGUAGGGUGCGAGCGUUGUCCGGAAUUAUUGGGCGUAAAGAGCGUGUAGGCGGCUAAAUAGGUCCGUUGUGAAAACUCGAGGCUCAACCUCGAGAUGCCGAUGGAAACCAUUUGGCUAGAGUCCGGAAGAGGAGAGUGGAAUUCCCGGUGUAGCGGUGAAAUGCGCAGAUAUCGGGAAGAACACCCGUGGCUAAGGCGGCUCUCUAGUACGGUACUGACGCUGAGACGCGAAAGCGUGGGGAGCGAACAGG
rnacentral:rRNA from 1 species